AACGGUGAAGCUCAACUGGAAGAGCGCAAGGCUUCGGCCUUGAGGACGCCUGUUCAAACCGGGCCACAUUUG
rfam:Phytophthora nicotianae strain race 0 contig4503, whole genome shotgun sequence.